UGUAAUGUUAGCUGACUGAAAACUUGCUUUAGAUAGUUCUAGCUUGUAUUACUAAUUCUAAACAUGAGAGCUAUAUGUUUCCCAUAUUAACAAGCAUCAAUAUUAUAUUAAACAUCCAGAUUUAAAUUCAUAUUUACAAAAGACAAAUAAUAAAGCUGUGUUUUUAUUAACAUAACUACCAUAAUCAAUAUUCAAGAUUUUACAUUCCCAACCAAGACAAAUAUUUUUUAUUUUCAUUUUUUUCAACAAUUAAUAUUUCAUAAUUGUUUAGUUUUCCUGUUACUAAGAAUUUUUUUUUUACAAAGGAUUAAAGCUAUAGAGACUGAUUUUAAGUAGUGUGAUGGAAAGAUAAGCUCAGAAAAUUCCCCUAAUAAACAGAGGGAAGGGGAGAAUGGUAUUGUACAGCAGUGGUUCUCAAACAUUUUCGUUGUAAGGCCCCCUUUGUGUUAAGUGCAUCGCUUUGCGGUCCCCCAUAUAAAGACAUAUAAUCUUAAAUUUAGAAUUUUAAUUAAACCAAAAACAUUCAGUUUUACAAUGCUGGAACCUCAAUUAUUUUGGUUGGUGGUGUAAUUUUUCUGAUUUUUGAUUGCAUAAAAUCUAUGAUAAAUUUAUAGAUACCUUAUAUCUAUAAAUUAUAUAUUUAUAGAUUAUUAUAUAUUUCAUAAAAUGCCACAAAAUCUGUGCCCCCCCUGGAUCCAUCUUGGGGCCCCCCAGGGGGCCACGGCUCCCAGUUUGAGAACCACUGUUGUACAGGACCUCUGUGCCAUAUUGAAUGUGGGUAAGUAUCUGGGUAACGGAAUAUGUCUACAUAAAAUUCUUGAAGAAAAAAUGUUUUUUUUUGCAAUCAUAAGAUAACCUUUACCUUAACAAUUAUUCUGACAGUGAAAAUAUGUCAUUGAGGUGAGUCAUGUCAUGUAAUUUGUAAAGGUAAUGUGACUACGCAUGAAACAGAGCCGUCUUCAGCGACUUAUAAGCAUUCAGUUUAAGAAUUAACUUGUUUACCUGUCUUUCAUUAAAUUCAAGCCUUUGUUAUCUAGAUUUAUUAACCUCACUUUCACUAUGUGGCCUUGACCUAAGUUAUAUCCUAAUAAAAUAAAAAUAUUGCUUUACUUAAACACAACUUAACAAUAGUAUUGAGUUCUUUAUUUAGCUGGAAUAUUAUCACAAGAUAUGUUUAUGGUACCUUGACAACCCAACUGUCCACUAACGUUAUACAACUUUACAUCUUUUUGUGAAUGUUUUUGUCACAUUUAGAUUUCUCAAGAUCAUCAGUUUUGUUGACCAUCUGGGAAGAAUUCAUCUGUGCCAUUGGCAAGCUGGUGAUCAGGACUUGAAAAGUAAUAUAAAAAGAUGGCUUCCACUUGCAUCUGACAAGAGAGGGCCCGAAACAAGCAAAAUCUUUAUAAGUCUAUCCUUCUUUUAAGGUACACUUACUUGAGGAGAUUCCAGAUGUUUUCUCGAUCACUUCCAUUUGUUAUUGUAAUGUUACAAUUCAAAAAAAUAUCUAAACAUAUAUUUCUCAUAUUUCUUUCGAGCAUUUUUACAUAGGAGCACAUGGCAACACCUACAGUAAAGUAUGAAACUUGAAACCUCUAAAAAAAGUUUGUUCUGUGCAUAGUCUAUUCUCAGUGUAAAGUGUUUUAAGAAGGGAAAAGUAAAUCACAUCCCAAUAAAAUGAUGUUUUGUUGAAAAACAUUUUAAAAAUGGCUUAAUUUUUACAUAAAACUGAAUGUCUAAUACACAUUUAUUUGAGUAGAUUUUAUGAAGUGCAUGAUUAAGAAUAAAUUAUAUACUUAAUUUAGUUUUGUUGUUCUUAUUAAACGCAUGUACAUUUGCUGGCUGAGUGUACAGUUUGUAGAUGGCAUGAUUGUGGCCCUAUGCUGGCAGUGUCAGCUCACUUUAAGCACCCGGACUCGGGCCAGUGGUGGCUGAGUACAGUUUUUAGUUGGCGUGAUUGUGGCCCUAUGCUGGCAGUGUCGGCUCACUUUAAGCACCCGGACUCGGGCCAGUGGUGGCGGAGUACAGUUUUUAGUUGGCGUGAUUGUGGCCCUAUGUAUACAGUAUACAGUAUAAAUAAAAUUUCUAAUUGUGAUGUACAGUGCUGUGUUGAGUUUUAUAAUCGAUGUGCUUUGUGAAUAGAAAAUUACUCCAAUUAUGCAUAAAUUGAAUCUUUAACGCACCGAAUAAAUCACAUAUUAAUUUAAUCCUCCAUGUGAGGGAUGAUAAUUGUUAGUAGUAACAAAAGUCGGCACACCAGAGCUCCAAAAAUAUAAAAAAAUACUUUAUUAUUUAAAAAACUUUGGCAUGGCGCAUGACGUUUCGAGCACACAAGCUCUUCAUCAGACAAUUCAACAACACGAAUGAACCCCAAUUUAUACCUCCAGGUGUACAAGGAUCACACCACAUCCAACAAAUAUAUUUAAAACAUAAAAUACAAUUAUUAUUGCAAAAUACUAAUAUUGCAUCGAUAUACUGUAUAAACACACGCAAAAGUCAAAAUCAUAAUCCAAUGAAAUAUAAAUUCUAAAUUAUGCACCUGGAAGCAUACAAAAGAAAAAAAUAUAUAUAUUGUUAACAGUUCUUGAAACCAAAACCUUUGAAAAAGUAUACAAAAACAUAAUAAAAACUAAAAAAACUUUGAAAAAAUAUUAAAGAAAAGGACGAAUGUCAAAAUCCUAAUUUAUUCCUCUGGGGGAUAACGUGUCCAAUGAUAAUUGUUUAAAUAAAAAAAAAAACUUUUAACAACGUGACUGUUUGGUCGUUCGGACGUGCUCAACACGCCCCAGAAACGUUAUUUGGUACGUCUGCGACGAACAUGGUACGUUCCAGGUAUGUCUUCAGGUCAGGAGGUAAUCACCAUGUCCCAACAAGGUCCAAUGUUACGUCUUCACGACGAAUAUGGGAAUCACAAAGUUACGUUGCUGGAACGUUAAUAUGGUACGUCGUGGCCAUAAAUAUGUAUUAUUUAUAUAUCCGGUCCAGAAACGUCAUCACAACGUUACUGUGUUAGCUGGGUAAUCUGUCGAGACAUCAGAACCAGGGACAAGUUACAAGAGCUGCCAGAUCCUGUUCUCAGCAGGUCAUGUCUCGUGACCACUGACAGCCCGAACCUUGCACCUCUGAAAACGACGGAGCACAUUUUUAAACAGUUGCGCCUUUAUAAGUCGACCUCAGAUUGUACGUUUAAACAACCACAUUCUGCUCUAACGAACUCUUAAAACUACAUUUUGUGACACAACAACACAUGUAUUACAUUUGCCGGGGCUUAAAUCAAACUAAAAGGAAGUGCGGGUGCAGCUUCCCUUUCCAGUGAAAUAAGCUCUCAUCAAAUACACUGAAAUCUUUCAUCAACUAUACCUGAAAUACAGUAUGUUACCUCAGUAGUGCACUAGUGUUUAUAAGAGGCUUUCUAGCAUGCAUAUGAAUGAAUUUCACUAGUGUUUGUAAAAGGUUAUUUAAUAAUACACACGAACGAUUUUCACAGGUUUUUGUAAAAGACUUUUCGGUAAUACAUGUGAAUGAUUUUUGCUAGUGUUUGUAAAAUAUUACAGUAAUACAUAUGGAUAAAUUUACUAGUGUUUGUAAGAUGUAUUUCAUUAAUACAUUUGAAUGCAUUUCACUGUUGCAGAACGAUGUGUUUGUUUCACUAGUGGUUAUAAGAAGUAUUUCAGUAAUACAUAUGAAUGAAUUUCUCCUCAUUCCCAAUCUCCUCUGUAUGCUCGCAGAUGCUUCUAUAGCCAUGAACAUCGUCAUCAGCCUCAGCCACAGGAGCUCAUGAAGAUCCAACUGCUGCAUAAAACCUUUGUGUUAUUUUACUUUGCGGCAUCUGGCUGAAGGGGCUUAUAUCUCCACGCCUCCUUUGCGUUUUUUCUCCAUGAUCUUUCUAACAAUUGUUUUGCGCUGCACACUGACACUGGAUUCUAAAAGGCCGGGGAGUUGUAUGAUUUGGCCAGCCCAUAGCUCAGUGAUUAGAGCAUGGUGUCACAUUUAUAAUUUGACCUCUAGAAAUCCAGUUGUCAGCUGUUUACUCUGAUUGCACGUUUAUAUUUGUCUAGUCCCCGCUCGCAAGAUGGCCGCCAGUCCAGAGCAUGCUCGCAAGAUGGCCGCCAGUCCAGGGCCCGCUCACAAGAUGGCCGCCAGUCCAGAGCCUGCUCGCAAGAUGUCCACCAGUCCAGAGCCCGUUCGCAAGAUGGCCGCAAGUCCAGAGCCUACUCGUAAGAUGGGGGGUUCAAGGACCAGGUGUCUGGUUUCAAGCCUGGAAGAUGCCCAUCUGAUGUUUGUUCGGAGGGCCGGUGUUCCCAAGGUCCAGAGUCCGGUGGUGCCAGAGGUAGCUGGUCCUGAAGCUCUUACUUUUGAAUCUGCUCUGCUGGUUGCUGCAUUGGGGUGUGUCUGGGUUGUGCACUGCUCUCCCGUUCCGGAGGCCAUUGACAAGAUGGCUGCCGAUGAUCUUCCUGAGAUCCCUUUUUCAGUUGCCUGUUCCAGGCAAGAUGUCUGCCGAUGAUCUUCUUGAGAUCCCUGCCUCGGUCAAGAUGGCCGCCGAUGAUCUUCUUGAGAUCCCUGCCUCAGUCAAGAUAGCCGCCUAUGAUCUUCUUGAGUUCCUUGUUUCAGUCAAGAUGGCUGCCGAUGAUCUUCCUGAGAUCCCUGUUUCAAUCAAGAUGGCCACCGAUGAUCUUCUUGAGAUCCCUGCCUCAGUCAAGAUGGCCGCCUAUGAUCCUCUCGAGUUCCCCGUUUAAGCCAAGGUGGCCGAGCCGCUUUCAAGAUGGCCGCCCUGAUCUCUUUGUAACCAUGCUCUGCCUGCCACGGCAAGGUUUCCAGCCUUGCCUGCCACUCACAGGCUUCCAGCCCUGUCUACCACACCCAGGCUUCCAGAUCAGCCUGCGCCUCCCUGCCCUCCAGAACAGCCUGUGCCCCCCUGGCCUCCAGAACAGCCUGCGCCCCCCUGGCCUCCAGACCAGCUUGUGCUUCCCUGGCCUCCAGACCAACCUGCGCCUACCUGGCCUCCAGACCAGCCUGCGCCUCCCUGGCCUCCAGACGGCCACCUCGGCCCAGGUCCGUCUCUGCUCCUCGGCCCAGGCCUCGUUCCCCUUCAUGGGCCUGGCCCUUCAUCCCACCCCCUAUACCGCCACCGCUCCACCACCCUCCUGGACUGAAAAGAAAGAGUUUGCAGACUUCUUUUUGGACCUAUUUGUUAAUGUUGAUAAAGUACUGAUUGUCUGAGAUUUUAAUAUCCACGUAGAUAGUGUUAACGAUGCAUUAGCAGUGGCGUUUAUAGAGCUACUACACUCUUUUGGAGUAACACAACACAUCAAUGGACCCACUCAUCGAUUUAAUCAUACACUAGACUUGAUUAUAUCCCACGGAGCCGAUCUAACCAAUAUAGAUAUCAUAUCUCAAAGCGACCAUGUCACUGAUCACCAUCUUAUAACACGUAUACUGUGCACUGCAGAAAUCAACUCGUAUAACAGGGUAGAACAAUUACAUCGACUACUAUAGAUAGUUUCGCAAAGAGCUUGCCAGAUCUGACUCCUUUAAUAACCAUACCAAUGAAUACAGAAUCGCUCGAUGACAUGACCAGCAACUUGGACACUAUUUUCUCUAACACAUUAGAAGCUGUCACACCUAUGAAGUCAAAAAAGAUUAAUGAGAAAAACAUAGCACCAUGGUACAAUAGCACCACUCGCGCCCUUAAAAGAGAAACACGUAAACUGGAGCGCAAAUGGAAACAAACCCAAUUAGAGGUCUUUAAAAUUGAGUGGAAAGAGAGUGCAAACUGUUAUAAAAAAGCAUUAAUAGCAGCAUAGGCUGAGCACCUCCGAAACCUCAUAGAAACUAACAAAAAUAAUCCAAGUUUCUUAUUUAUUACAGUUGCUAAAUUAACAAAUAAACAGACAUCACCUGACCUGGUUAUUCCACCGCACCUUGGUAGCAAUAAAUUCGUGAAUUUUUUUACUGAGAAAAUCGAAAACAUACGAGACAAAAUAGUGAAAACUCAACCUCCAAGUCUGUCCUAUGUAUUAGUACGAACCAUCGCCCCAAAAGAAAAGCUACAGUGUUUCUCACCUAUAAAACAGGAAGAUUUAAUUAAACUUAUUGCAACAUCUAAACCUACAACAUGCUUAUUAGACCCCAUACCAACUAAAUUAUUGAAAGAGUUACUACCUGUUGCAAUUGAGCCCAUUUAUAACAUUAUCAACUCGUCAAUUAAUCUAGGCCAUGUCCCAGGACCCUUUAAACUGGUCGUCAUUAAGCCUCUUAUCAAGAAACCAAACUUAGACCCCAAUGAACUAGGAAACUAUAGACCUAUUUUAAAUCUCCCUUACCUGUCUAAAAUACUAGAAAAAAUAGUGUCUACUCAGUUGUGCUCUUUCUUAAAAAAUAAUGUCAGGCUUUAGACCGCACCAUAGCACUGAAACUGCGCUCGUUAAAACUAUAAACGACCUGCUUAUAGCAUAAGAUGAAGGUAACAUCUCACUCCAAGUCCUGCUUGACCUUAGUGCUACGUUCGAUACUGUAGACCAUACAAAACUUUUAGAUCACUUACACAAUUAUACCGGUAUUCAGGGACAGGCACUACAAUAGUUCAGAUCUUACUUAUCAGACAGAUAUCAAUUUGUCCAUUUAAAUGGGGAAUCAUCAAAUCAAAGUAAAUUAUGGAUUACCUCAGGGAUCGGUUUUAGGACCCUUGCUAUUCUCCAUAUACAUGCUGACCCUUGGCAACAUUAUUAGAAAACAUGGAAAUAGCUUCCACUGUUAUGCAGAUGAUACUCAGCUACAUAUCUCAUCAAGACCAGAUGAUUCCUUCCAGCUAUCCAAAUUGGCAGAGUGCAUCAAAGAUACAAAUCAUUGGAUGACUAGUCAUUUCCUUCUUUUAAACUAAUAAAACUUUUAUAGAGUUAAAAUAUUACUUAUCGGACCAACGACAUGUAAACAGAAUAUUUCGGAUUAUAACCUGCAAAUUGAAGGCUGCACUGUUACUCCAACAAAUGCAGUUAAAGACCUAGGCGUUAUAUUAGACAGCAACCUGUCAUUUGGAAAUCACAUCUCAAAUGUCACAAAAACAGUCUUCUUCCACCUUAGAAAUGUUGCCAAAUUAUUAAGUAUUCCAUGUGUUGCUGACGCAGAGAAGCUUAUUCAUGCAUUUGUGAACUCAAGGUUUGACUACUGUAAUGCCCUGCUUAAUCAAUGAACAAACUACAGUUAGUUCAGAAUGCAGCUGCCAGAGUUCUAACCAGGUCCAGAAAAUACGAUCACAUAACCCCAAUGUUAUCAUCCCUUCACUGGCGACCCAUUAAUAUUGUAUUGACUUGAAAGUUAUUUUAAUUACUUAUAAAGCCCUGAACGGAUUAGCCCCUACCCACUUAACAGAGCUUCUAUCACAUUAUAACCCAUCACGUUCUCUAAGAUCUCAAAACUCCGGACUUUUGAUAACACCUAGAAUAACUAAAUCCACCAAAGGGGAUAGAACUUUCUCAUACGUAGCACCUAAACUCUGGAAUAGCCUUCUCGAUAAUAUUCGAGGUUCUGACACACUCUCCAAAUUUAAAUCUAGAUUAAAGACAAAUCUUUUCAGCCAAGCUUUCACUUAAUAAAUAAUAUGCUAAAUAAACCACCGGGUGACUGCAUUUAUUAGAUAUUGUCAUGGUUCUGCCCCAUCUUGUCUUGCUUUUCUUGACCUAGUGGCAGAAUCGUGACAGAACCUCUUGUUUUCAUGUGGAGAGAGGCGUUUUGGCCCUGUUGGCCUUCCACUCUCCGGUGUCGCGUCUCUGUUCCCGCCCUUUCGUUGCCUCAUUAUUGAUUGAUUAUUAGUUCAUGUCCCACACCUGUUCCCUCUUGAUUUGUUCCCUUUAUAAGGUCCCUGUGUUUUCUGUCCUGUGCUAGUUCAUUGUCGUUUGUAUGGUGAGUGCCUGUUCCGUGUCAGUCUAGUCUAGUGUAGUCAUUUGUAGUUCAUGUUUAUUUUAAUCUUAGUCUUGUUAGGUGUAUUUAAUCUUAGUCCUGUCCUGUUGUAGAUUCCCCUGUUUUGUUUUGUUACCCCCACGUGGAUCUUUGUUUUGUAUUUAUAUUUUAUUAAAUGUCUUGUUAACCCCUUACCCGCUGUCUGCGUCUGGGUCCCCUGUCCUUGUUCCCUCACCGUCCUUGACAGAACGAACGAGCCACAUACAGAACCCAGUAGGCAGCAUGGGCACUAGACGGUCCCACCAGGCCCGCCUCCUCUGCGGCAUUCGUCAGGAUAACACGGACAUCGAGGACUACCUGGAUAGGUUCCUGGAUGCUGCAGAGGAGGAUGUCUUCGGGGCAGUGUUAAUUUUGACAGCAAAUUUUGAUUUAGUUUUAGUCAUAGUCUUGACGAAAAUGCAAUUUAGUUUUAGUCACAUUUUAGUCAACCCCAUCAUUUUAGUUUUAGUCUAGUUUUAGUCGACGAAAUAUGAAAAACAUUUUAGUCGAAUAAAUAUACAUUAUAUUUAGUCUACUAAAAUCUAAAUGGUUUAAAUCAUUUACUUGGUGUAAUUAAAUGUUCCAUACAAAGAUUCAACUGUUUUGACAUAAUUUACUUCACCUUAGAAUAAAAUUAAACCAGGUCAUUACCUUUAUUUUUCAGAAAAUUCCAGUAACUACACUGCGUUCCAAAUUAUUAUGCAAAUUGGAUUUAAGUGUCGUAAACAUUUAAUUUUAUAUUGUUCAAUUAAACUUAUGGAUGGUAUUGUGUCUCAGUGCUCUUUGGAUCACUGAAAUCAAUCUCAGACACCUGUGAUAAGUAGUUUGCCAGGUGAGCCCAAUUAAAGGAAAACUACUUAAGAAGGACGUUCCACAUUAUUAAGCAGGCCACAGGUUUCAAGCAAUAUGGGAAAGAAAAAGGAUCUGUCUGCUGCCGAAAAGCGUCAAAUAGUGCAAUGUCUUGGACAAGGUAUGAAAACAUUAGAUAUUUCACGAAAACUUAAGCGAGAUCAUCGUACUGUGAAGAGAUUUGUGGCUGAUUCAGAGCACAGAGGGUUCGUGCAGAUAAAGGCAGAAUGAGGAAGGUUUCUUCCAGACAAAUUCAUCGGAUUAAGAGAGCAGCUGCAAAAAUGCCAUUGCAAAGCAGCAAACAGGUAUUUGAAGCUGCUGGUGCCUCGGGAGUCCCGAAAACCUCAAGGUGUAGGAUCCUCCAGAUGCUUGCAGUUGUGCAUAAACCUACUAUUCGGCCACCCCUAACCAAUGCUCACAAGCAGAAACGGUUGCAGUGGGCCCACACAUACAUGAAGACUAAUUUUCAAACAGUCUUGUUUACUGAUGAGUGCCGUGCAACCCUGGAUGGUCCAGAUGGAUGGAGUAGUGGAUGGUUGGUGGAUGGCCACCAUGUCCCAACAAGGCUGCGACGUCAGCAAGGAGGUGGCGGAGUCAUGUUUUGGGCUGGAAUCAUGGGGAGACAGCUGGUGGGCCCCUUUAGGGUCCCUGAAGGUGUGAAAAUGAACUCUGCAAGGUAUGUAGAGUUUCUGACUGAGCACUUUCUUCCAUGGUACAAAAAGAAGAACCAUGCCUUCCGUAGCAAAAUCAUCUUCAUGCAUGACAAUGCACCAUCUCAUGCUGCAAAGAAUACCUCUGUGUCAUUGGCUGCUAUGGGCAUAAAAGGAGAGAAACUCAUGGUGUGGCCACCAUCCUCCCCUGACCUCAACCCUAUUGAGAACCUUUGGAGCAUCCUCAAGCGAAAGAUCUAUGAUGGUGGGAGGCAGUUAGCAUCAAAACAGCAGCUCUGGGAGGCUAUUCUGACAUCCUGCAAAGAAAUUCAAUCAGAAACUAUCCAAAAACUCACAAGUUCAAUGGAUGCAAGAAUUGUGAAGGUGAUAUCAAAGAAGGGGUCCUAUGUUAACAUGUAACUUGCCCUGUUAGGAUGUUUUUGAUUGAAAUAGCUUUUGAUUUCAGUAAAUAUGACCUCCUAAUGCUGCAAAUUCAACAAAUGACCAUUUUCAGUUUUUUACAACCUAUGAAAUGUUUUCAAACUCUGUUGUGCAUAAUAAUUUGGAACAGUGCAUUUUGAGUUUUUCAUUUUUUAAAUAAAUACUGUUGUCAGUGGGAGGUUUGUUCAAUAAAAUUCCAAAUGUACCCUAACUGUUGAUUACUUGAAAAUUAUACUGACUGUCAUUUGCAUCGACAAAUUAGGAAAACCAGAGAAAGAUAUCAUUUGCAUAAUAAUUUGGAACGCAGUGUAGAUAUGCAUUGUUGGAACGCAGAGUAUUAGACCAUGAAUGACAUGUUCCAGUUCGUUCAAUUCCAUUUGACUCAAUUGACUCGUUAAGUAACUCGUUAACUCGGGCGUGUUCAUUCAGUUCAUUCAACCAAUGAAACGCUCUGACACGGCUCACACUCAAAGGCUAUUGGCUCAUGGCAUGCCUCUUUGAAGAAAGAGCGCACUGUCUUUGCUUGAUACAGCAAUGAAUGAGAAUAGCUUUCAAAAAGACAUAUUAUAUAAAUUGUAUUACAUUUCUUUAGUCAUGCAAACAUGUUACAUAUUUGGUUGGAAUGUACAGUUCGACUCACUUCAUCACUUCUAUAAUCAGUAGAGGACAGCGCUGGUUUCUUUUGGCUGACUCUAUGUUGAAUUUCACGUUAUGCAGCAGCUCGUGUUAAGUUAACACAGGCCUAUAAAAACCUUUGAGCUUGCCUUCGUAAUGUGUUUCGGGGUGACUCGCCUGCAGUCGCGCUUCAAGUUUGCGGCGUUUUACCGGCGAUCGUGACGGAAAAUAAGACGCUUUGUAAACCGCGUGGAGACACAGAAUACAUGUCUGUGCUUCUCCUUCUCCCAGAGACUUCUCUCUGCCGUUUAUAUGAGAUAAGCAGCACAUGCGCGCAAACUGAUGUCCGCCAGGUGGGACUAGAAUAUUUUCGUCUCGUUUUUAUUAGUUGACGAAAAUGUCAGUAUAUUUUUAUUACAGUUUUCGUUAUAAUGCAUUCAUUUUUAUUUAGUUAUCGUCUCGUUUUCGUCAGUGAAAACAUGUCGUUAACGAAUACUUUUCGUCAUAGUUUUCGUUAACGAAAUUAACACUGCUUCGGGGAGGAGGAGGCGGCGGUGCUUUUUAACGCCGGUCUCAGGGACCCCCUGUCGCGGGCGGAGAUGCGGUCGUUGAGACCGCUGGACUUCGAUGUCGUGUGGCGGUAUGUCAUGAACCGACCGGAGUCCAGGGUCUCAACGCAACACAGCCAUCCAUCUCUGCUGGCCGCCAUACAUGAGGGUCAGACCCUGCAGAUCGGGGUUAUGGGCAUCGCCACACCGUUCUCCUGUCCAGCUGGCUUUCCAGCCGGCGCCCAUCCUUGUCCACCGACUUGAACGUCGGCGGUCCCCCCCUGGACUCCCCCCCUAAGUCCCCCAGAACUCCGCGCCCUCAAGCGCAACC